CAGCCUUCUCUAGCCCACCCAAGUUUCCAUCAAAGGAGCAAGCCUAUGUCAGUAAGAAAAAAGCUGGCUAACCCUCCCACCCCUUGUUUAACUCCUCCAGCCCAUCCCACAUCAUUGUAGAGUGAAGAGACUGCGGGUAAUAUUCAGAAAGAGGCGCAGAGAACUGAAGGCUUUCCUGACUUGACACCGAAUAAUAACGAAGGCCUGUGUGCUUUGCAGCAGCCCCCACGUCACCCUCUUCCAGGGCUCCGUCAGAGGACUAACGAUAUGCCACAAGAUGAUUGGCAGCAAGACACACCCAGUGAUGAAGGGAUGUGCUCUCCUUAAAUCACAGCCUAUUCAUCAGGUACUCCUGAGUGCUGUGUUAAGAAAUCCUGCCUACAAAGUUCCACUGAGGCUGAUAUAAAGAUGACUGUGAGAAACUGGCUGCGGCUGUCUGAGCAGAGACAGGAAUGGGGGCGGCAAAGGCGGGACAAGCAAGCAUCUUAAGUGAAAUAAUUGAUUGGACUGAUUCUGGAGUAGGACUUAUUCUGGAGGGAAUUUCUUAUUUUUGUUGCAGUUUGCUAUGGGACGGUUUCAAGGACAGGGAUUAGACUAGUUCUAGACUAAAAUAAAUGUAAGAGCUGUCCAAACUGAAAACAACUUGCACUGACAUAUCAUAAAAUACAUCAGUGUCUUUUGUGAUGCUUCAAAAUGCACACAAGUAAUGUUUUUAUUAAGACAUGUUAUUAAAACUAGUUAUAUUUCAGAAUUAAACUAAGGCCUAGUCCCGGUUUAAGAUAAUCCCUGUCCGGGAAACCACCCCAAAGUGUAAUUUGUGGAGUGUUAAAAUAAAUGAAACUGCCUUUGCAAAAACAAAGUAAAAAAAAAUUCCAGAUGCCCUUCUGUUUUGUUAUUUCUCCUGGAAAACUCACUGAUCCAUUUUUUUCUGUUAGACUG